rnacentral:lncRNA from 1 species
UUUGCAUUUCCCCUCACAGUUCACUGUUCAUUUAUGAAGACAGUUGUGGACAAAAAAAGGACAUUUCUCUAUGCCAUAAUUGUUGACUGUGGGACUCGGAUUUCGACAUUGGGUAGCUUCCAACAUACGCUCUCACUGUACAUCAGCCAAAUAUCGACUAUUCUUUCUAUUCAAUUUUUGUGAAUAUUUCACUCUUCUUUGACACAAACCCUGGAAAUCGGCUGCAACAUCUCCACUCCUCCACCGACGACAAACACCAUUUUUGGUAGUUCCUAGCUCUUCAACAGCUUGAAACCAUAACAAAUUGUGAACUUUUCUUCCUUCCAAAAUUUGUUUCACUCAAGAUGCGCUAAGAAGCCGCCAGACGUGUUCAUGGGAGCCAAUCGAAACGACAACGUGCAGGAGGUAACACGAAAGAAAUAAAUUUUUUAACAUAGGUUCCUAAUUUGUUGGUUUUGGUGUAAAUAACAGAUUCAUUUGUUACCCAAUUGAAUGUUAGAAAAGUUGUAGACGAAUUGAGAUGGUCAUGCAGGAACAAUUAUUUGGAGUUCUCGAUCUCAUUAUAAUCCUAUGAGUUAUCUUAAGUGCUCUAUAAUGUUUAAUUCAUAUGAUAAUUAAGCAAAGAGAUUACAUAUGUAGAUUAUCUUCUUAAUGAUAGCUGAUAGGUUCUGUUGGGAUGCUUUUUUUGGUAUAAUUUUUUAACAAAUAGAGCUUGAAAGAAAUCACAUUGGGAUGAUCCAUCAAGCGCAUUAACUACAAUUACUAUUUUUAUAGCACCUAUCUUGUGGUACCUUCUUUAUGGUCACAGUCUGUCCAGUUUGAAAGCAUGUUGCCUACCAAAGAAUAAUGGCAAACCAAGUGUUCCAUAAAUGAAGGUAAAAUUAUGGGCAUUGUUAUGAUGUCAGAUGAACAGCUGAAAAACCAUUCCAAAUGAUCCUAUUUUUCCAUUUUUGCUAAGUGGCGUCCCCUAUUUUUCUUUAUGGUGUGUUUGUUCUUUCACUGCUGCACGUCACUAAGGUUUGUUGUAAUCUAACUUUAAAAGAUUGAAAAGUUUAAAAGUAGAAUUAACUGGACUUCAAAUGGACGUGAAGUCAGAAAGAGAUAGAAUAGUAGUUGAAUUUGACUGUAAAAGACUUUAAAGUAAAAAAAUAAAAAUAAAUAAAAAAAGAAUUUGACUUGAACUGGAUGUGAAUUCAGAGAGAGAAUGGGACGACCAGGAAGUACUACUCACUCAUAUUAUGACUCGUUUCUAUUCACAUACCAAAGAUGCGCUAACAAAGCAUAAAAAAUUUGAAGAUUAAAAAGAAGUGCUACAGACUACAUGUUUCAAUGCAUUGGUGCCUCAAGAGCUAUAAAUCAAUCAUUUAAACAUAGGUAUAUUCUUUUUUCAUGAAAUAUAAAUUAUCAAGCAUAUACAUACACAAUUAUGUUUGCAUAUGUAUCGCGUAUAUGCAUGCAUGUGUAUGAUUCUAAUUUGUGGUGUAUUUGAUAUGAAUAUAAUCUGAUUAGGUAAAUACAGUUUGGUAAAAGUUUCGUGUGCACUUUACUAAAAUUUGUAGUUAGACUAGCAUAAAUGAGGAUAAAUGUUGUUCUUUCUUGCUAACUGUUCACAAAAAAGAUAAAUAAUGACUACAAUAUUAUUAUUUAUUUAUUUAUUUAUUUUAUUUAUUUAUUUAUUUAUUUUUACAACCGUGGGUGUCUGGGUCAACUUACGAGUACCUCAACUAAUCCUAUGGAAUCCUGAAAUUUAUAGCUGGGUGCUCGCCUCAGUGACCCUAAGGGAACUCGAAAUGGUGACUACAAAAAUGAUAUAUCAUUUGGAUCCAGACCUUAUUUGAUGUGUUAUAGUUGACUCUUUCUUCUAUUAGAAGCCUGUAAGAAUUGCAAUAAUGAACUCUUGCAUUUGAGUUAACGUUAAUGAAAGAGAGAGCCUUCACAAAAAUACCAUUUUUUAAAUUAGCUUAUGUUUAGUUAACAUAAAGCGAAUCUACCUUUUUUGUUACUUAUAUGAAUUUUCUUGUAACUUGUAGGUCAGUAUUUCUAAUUAUAAUGAUCAGCUUAAGGUAUUCAUCUUUUCAUUCUUGAAUGAAUUGAUAACACAGCAACUGAGGUUGACCUAUUAACUAUUAAGCGUUCCUUUGCAGAUGGGAUUACUAUUACUACAUCCAGCUAUUUAGCAAUUGGGUACCAUGGUCAGACUUGUAACUCUAUUUACAUUCCAUUUUAGAAUUUAUAUAGUUGACAAACACGGCAUGGUCUGUAAGGUGGACGUGGAUCUGAUAGUAAUGGACGGUGUUAAAUAAGGAAGUUAAAGUUUUGUGUAUUACAUUUUCAGUUAUGAUCUAAUAUUAUAUUGCUACAAACAUGCCAUCAGGGCAAUGAAAAGAAGGCACUUGUUUCUGCAAUGUUAUUGAAGAAGAGAAGAUGAUGGAACUUAAGGUACUUUGUAACCGAUAAAAUCGACAUGAGUUUGAUAACUUUUCAGUUACUAUUUUCAUGUAUGGUUUUAUUACUUUUGUUGCAAUUAUUCUACACCAAUCAGUGUUCCAAAAGACUCCUAAACAUGGAUAUGUUCGUACUCGUCUUAAAAGUAAUGUUUGCUUGACCGGGGAAUUCUGAAUGCCUUUAUUCUACCAAUAAUUUCAAUGGUCUCUCGUACAGACAGGUCGUGUAUCAUAAGAGUUGAGACACGAGAAUCUGAAACGAAAUUGUAAAAAGAUGAUUAUUGCAUCUUCAGUAAUUCUUUGAUGUAAGAUAUUUAGUUAAUUGGACAGUUUCUCAUUUUCUUUCUCUUCUAACCAUUCCAUAGGUCUUUACAUGUUUUUUGCUUUCUCAUGAGGGUGCUGUUUGAGAAAAUUUCUCAAAAGAUAAUUCAACUACUUCAAAGAAAUUGAAAGAAGAAUAAAUGAUAAAUGGAGAAACCUUAACUCAUAGUUUAAUUCUUAGGGAUAAGGUGCAAAUUGACACAGAUUAAGUGAAAAUUAAUCUUAGUUAAAAUCUCAAGCAAGAGCUUCGAGCAUAUUUGGCUAAGCUUAGAAAGUUCACAACAAGAAAGUUUUAAAGUAAGCAUUUGUUUAUUGGUCAAAGUUUGAACAAACUUUAAGUAACUCUUUUACAUAAAAAAGGAAGGAAAAAGUAAGCUAUCAAAAUAUAUUUGGAAACAAAAACUUAAAGUAAGAACAAUUUAUCCCACGGCAUAAAUGAUCCUGAAUAUAUCCUUUAUUGAAGCUCAAAUUUACUGUCAACAAUAUUUGUUCAAGAGUAUCUUGCGGAUGCAGGAUGGUAACAAUUAUGAGAUAAGUAAUAUCUUAUUUUCCUUACAAGUUACAACUAUGGAAGUUUGUUGUAGCUUGUGCCUAACCUAAUAUUAGCUGUAAGGUUUUUUUAUGAAAUAAUUUUUAAUUUUUUACAUUGUGAAAGGAAAGCGUCUGCAAGAUCUAGCUAUCUGUAUGCAUUUACGAUGCUUUUGAGAUUGGUCUCUUUAUUUCAAAUUAGUUGUUCUCUAUUGCUUCAAGCAAAAUUCGCAGGAAGGCAUUUGAAUUUUAGUUGGAAUGAUUAUGAAUAUUAUUUUGUUUUGUUAACAGGUUAUAUGACCAUAUUUCAUUAUAUUGAACCCAUGAACCUCAGUUUUUAAAAUUUGUUAGAUCUGAAGAGGGAUGCUAUUGAAGGUUCCAACGACUAUUUUAGUCUACCAACUUUUACUAUUGUCAAUUUACUAUAAUUCCUUUAAUUCUGUUUUUAAUUCAUAAUUGUUUUUGUACUUAUCAAAUGUCUAUAUUAGCUCCUACAGCUUAUUAGUUCUUACGAGAUUUUAGAUUUCAUGUUCCUUACUCUUGUUUAAUGUUGUGUAGCUUCUGAAUCAGCUUUUGGUUCGUCUUAUGAUUACUCAGCUAACAUUGAAGUAAAAUAAAUAAAUAAAAUAAAAAAAUUAUAAUAAAUCCUUUUGAAUUGGCUUGUUAUUAAUUAUUCAUAAGGCAUUUUAUAUUUCCGUUUUCUAUUAUAUUAGUCUUAUAAUUUGUUGUGUUUUCAGUGCCUGGCUGAAUGCACCUCAGCAUAGAGGUGGGAUUGUGAAAAACCCUACAUUUGAUUCAUAUUUAAAUGAAAGGACUGCGUUUCCAAAGGGAAAAAUUGGAAUUGAGAAAUCUAAGGGGGAACAAAUUCAUAGUAGCAACUAGCAGAAGCUCACCAAAUAAUAGUUUCUCGCAAAACUUUCAUAUAAAAAAUGACCUUCGGCAUAUGUUUUCUGGUAAAUAUAUAAGAACUACAAGAUUUGCCAUUUGUAUUGUAAUAACUACUUGUAUUGUUCAUUCAAAAUUAUUAGAUAGCCUGGGUACAAAUCAG